rnacentral:rRNA from 1 species
AGAGUUGAUCCUGGCUUAGGACGAACGCUGGCGGCGUGCCUAACACAUGCAAGUCGAACGAAGCAUUGGAGCUGAUCCCUCGGGGUGACGCACCUUACGACUUAGUGGCGGACGGGUGAGUAACACGUGAGCAACCUGCCUCUCAGAGUGGAAUAACAGUUGGAAACGGCUGCUAAUACCACAUAACGUUUUUGUGCCGCAUGACACUUCAACCAAAGAUUUAUCGCUGAGAGAUGGGCUCGCGUCCGAUUAGGUAGAUGGUGGGGUAACGGCCUACCAUGCCGACGAUCGGUAGCCGGACUGAGAGGUUGAUCGGCCACAUUGGGACUGAGACACGGCCCAGACUCCUACGGGAGGCAGCAGUGGGGGAUAUUGCACAAUGGGCGCAAGCCUGAUGCAGCAACGCCGCGUGCGGGAAGACGGCCUUCGGGUUGUAAACCGCUGUCCUUGGGGAAGAAACAAAUGACGGUACCCAAGAAGGAAGCCACGGCUAACUACGUGCCAGCCGCAGC